CCUGGAUGCAUGGUAUUUCACCUGAGGGACCAGCAGCAUCCGUCACCAACUCAUUGGCUUCACCUGGCUCCGCCUCUUCUGUCUCAGGGGGCGUGGCCAGGGCCUGUUCCAUCAAAUCCUGGUAAGCUUCCGUGGCGACUGCCGGGCCAUGGGUGAAGAGGUGGUCCGUGGUGGGGAUCUCGUUGGUGUGGUUGGUCCCUUGCAGUAAAGGGUCCUCUCUGUCCACAUGCUCACUUCCUGUUUCUCCCCAGACCAGGGUGGGACGAGGCAGGGAGUCCUGCUCCUGGACCGGGGGGGCCUGGUCCCCAGCCCCGUGUUCAGAGGCCCCGGCCCCUCCUUCUCCGUUUUCUUCUCCCCCCACCACACCGGCCAAGCCUCCGUUCACCUCUAAACCUCCUGCCUCUACUUCUUGCUCGUCUGCCUCAUUCUCAGUCGCCCCCUCCUGUUCCUGCUCUCCAACCCUCUCGCUGUCCUCCCCCCCGUCGCCACCAGGGGGCAGUUGGACCCCGACUGCUCCGUGCACGUGACUACUCUCUUCCUUCGCUUCAACAUCUCCUCCAGGCUGCUGAGCGGCUUCCCCUCCCCCCAGCUCCCCCGCGCCCCCUUCUGUCUCUCCCCCGGUCGGCUCCUCCGUAGCGCCAAGCUGCUCCUCGCUCGCCCCCCCUCUCUCCGUUCCUUCUUUGGUGCUAUCUCCGCCGGCUCCUUCUAUGCUCGGCUUCAACACCUCUUCGCCCCCUGCUUUAAUGAUCAUCUCCUCCACCUGUUUCUCCAUCUUCUCCAGGAUGUCUGUGGGCUCCACCACCAGCACCACGGGGGGGGUGUCCUCAGACGCCGCGGGGGGUGUAGCCACCGCCGUCUCGUCCAGCUCCUCAACCCCCGCUUCGGUGGCCUCUUCCGACUCGGAGCCGGUUGCUCCGUCAGCCCCCACCGCGUCCGUCUCCGCCCCGGCGGUCUCAGCGUCCGAUCCCCCGGUCUCUGCCUCCUGCUGCUCCUCUCCAUCCAGACCUCCCGCCGCGGCCCCCAGGCCUCCAUCCAGCCCCGCCCCCUCCCCCUCAGACGCCUGCUCCACCGUUCCCCCAACUCCUCCGUCCGCCGCCGCCUCCGCCUCGCCCUCCCCGGCUCCUCCCCCCUCCGCCCCCCCUGCCUCUCCCAGAGCGGCCUCCACCACCCUCUCCAGCAGCCCCUUCAGCACCACCUCCGCUCCCCCGC
ensembl:lncRNA